CGCUUUACGUUUCACCUGCUAGCGAUUUCCCAAGGUCUUCCGUAUUUAUAUGUAUCUUUGAGACGAUUCGGACUUGAUGCGCCCACACGAGCUUUUGCAUCGUUUCAUUCAGCAUUCCCACCGAUAAACGCGACACUGUCUCGUUUCGGUUCGAUCCGAGGCUGAAAAAUUGAUGCUGGACCGUUUGUCGCUUCCUCGCGUGUGCUCUUCAACGAUCCACGAUGCCUAUGUAUCAUUGGUAAAAUAGAUCACAUUGUAAUUGUGAUUUGUAUUUGAUACAGCAGCUUGAAAACUUGAACAAUAGAGUUAGAAAUAUCUGCAAAAUGAUGGACAUUGAUCCUCCACAUUUUGUGUCCAAGGAUGAUGAAGUUCGAUAUUGGAUGGAUCUUGCUCAUCAAAUACACAGAAGGAAAGAAGAUACAGAAAGGGAAUUGGAAGAGUUUCAAGAAAAUUCACAAUUGUUAGAGAAAGAGUUGGAAGCAUCAUUGGAGCAAGCAGAGAAAACUAAUAGAGAUCUAAGGCAACGAAAUACAAGACUCGCCACUGAAGUGGAACAGCUGAGAACAAGAUUAGACCAGCAAACAACGGAUUGUGCAAUGUUUCAAGGAAAGGCUCAAGAUUUACAAGCACAACACGAUCAUUUAUUAAAGUAUAUAAGGGAGUUAGAACAAAAAAAUGAUGACUUAGAAAGAGCUCACAGGAUAAAUAGGGUAACAGAGGAGGAGAUAGAAGCUAAACUUAAUUCAGCUAUCGAGAAAAAUGCUUUACUGGAAUCUGAACUUGAUGAAAAAGAAGGUCUAAAAGUUCUAGUACAGAGAUUAAUGGAUGAAAUUCGAGACUUAAAGCAAGAGAUUCAAGUUCAAGAAAGGCAUCAACCAGAUAAUGAUAAAUCUGCCGACAGAGUUUGUAACCAUGUUGAUAGUAAUAAGCUACAAGUUGAAUUGGAAACCCAUGUAUCAUCUACUACCCCAAUAGUACAACAAUCCAUACCUCCAAGUAAUACAACUUCGCCACUAAAAAUUGGAAACAGAGUGGUAGGGGGUGUAACUGGGAACAACAAUAACAAUAAUAACGUGAAUCCACCGUUGACACCGUGCACAAGAAUAUUAGCGAUGAAUAUGAUUGGUGACCUGAUGAGGAAAGUCGGACUUGACAGGUGGGUCUGCAUGGAGUGUAGGAGGGUAAAGUGCACUUGUCCGGGUGGGAAAAAAACAAUGUCUGCUACACCUACUGAUUUACCAUCCGUCCAGGCUCAUACACCUACACAAUGUAUACGACAACAACCUAGACCGACCAAGUGCUGACCAAGCCUCCAUCAUACCUCACCGCUAAAUUAUUUUCCACAUUCUUAUGACACAGGCAUUGGAGAACAAGCUAAACACCUGUCA